rnacentral:rRNA from 1 species
AGAUUAAGUUAUUAAGGGCGCACGGUGGAUGCCUUGGCACUAGAAGCCGAUGAAGGACGUUACUAACGACGAUAUGCUUUGGGGAGC